rnacentral:lncRNA from 1 species
CUCAUUUUGUUGGCUUUCUUAUGAAGAAUGCACCACAGUUUAAAGCAAAUCAUGCUGAACUUAUUUUAGCUAACCCGAGUCCAGUUCUCAUCUACCAGAUUUCAUCCAGUGAAACUCGAGUACUUGUUGACAUUAGAGGAGAAAUGCCAAGGAAUUUAAGAGAAUACAUGGUUGAAAAAAUUUACCCACAAAUACCUGAUCACCUGAAAGAACCAUUCUUAGAAGCCACUGACAAUUCUCAUCUGAGGUCCAUGCCAGCAAGCUUCCUUCCUCCUUCAUCAGUGAAGAAACGAGGUGUUCUUCUUUUGGGAGACGCAUAUAAUAUGAGGCAUCCACUUACUGGUGGAGGAAUGACUGUUGCUUUUAAAGAUAUAAAACUAUGGAGAAAACUGCUAAAGGGUAUCCCUGACCUUUAUGAUGAUGCAGCUAUUUUCGAGGCCAAAAAAUCAUUUUACUGGGCAAGAAAAACAUCUCAUUCCUUUGUCGUGAAUAUCCUUGCUCAGGCUCUUUAUGAAUUAUUUUCUGCCACAGAUGAUUCCCUGCAUCAACUAAGAAAAGCCUGUUUUCUUUAUUUCAAACUUGGUGGCGAAUGUGUUGCGGGUCCUGUUGGGCUGCUUUCUGUAUUGUCUCCUAACCCUCUAGUUUUAAUUGGACACUUCUUUGCUGUUGCAAUCUAUGCCGU